rnacentral:rRNA from 1 species
AGAGUUUGAUCAUGGCUCAGAAUCAACGCUGGCGGCGUGCCUAACACAUGCAAGUCGAACGCGAAAGUGGAGCAAUCCAUGAGUAGAGUGGCAAACGGGUGAGUAACGCGUGGGCGACCUACCUUCGAGUGGGGGAUAACCUUCCGAAAGGAGGGCUAAUACCGCAUGACAUCCCGUGUUUAGAUACACGGACAUCAAAGCCGGGGCUCGUAAGACCUGGCGCUUGAAGAGGGGCCCGCGUCCGAUUAGCUAGUUGGUGAGGUAACGGCUCACCAAGGCUCCGAUCGGUAUCCGGCCUGAGAGGGCGGACGGACACACUGGGACUGAGACACGGCCCAGACUCCUACGGGAGGCAGCAGUGGGGAAUUGUUCGCAAUGGGCGCAAGCCUGACGACGCAACGCCGCGUGGAGGAUGAAGACCUUCGGGUCGUAAACUCCUUUCGACCGAGAUGAAUUCUCGCCGGCCUAAUAUGCCGGCGAGGUGACAGUAUCGAGGGAAGCAGCCCCGGCUAACUCCGUGCCAGCAGCCGCGGUAAUACGGGGGGGGCAAGCGUUGUUCGGAAUUACUGGGCGUAAAGGGUUCGUAGGUGGCUCGCUAAGUCAGACGUGAAAUCCCUCAGCUUAACUGGGGAACUGCGUCUGAGACUGGUGAGCUUGAGUGCAGGAGAGGAACGCGGAAUUCCAGGUGUAGCGGUGAAAUGCGUAGAUAUCUGGAGGAACACCGGUGGCGAAGGCGGCGUUCUGGACUGCAACUGACACUGAGGAACGAAAGCCAGGGGAGCAAACGGGAUUAGAUACCCUAGUAGUCC